rnacentral:lncRNA from 1 species
UUUCUUUUGACUGGUCAAAACAUUUGAUUGUAAUCAAAUUUUUUUGCUCUUUUAGUCAAAGAAAACAGUAUAAUGUUUAGAAUAAACAAAACUUGAGUGAUGAUAUUUGGGGAAUUUUGGGAAAAAAAUAAAAUAAAAAGAAUGGGCCACUCAGUGUUCUCUGAAGUGGGGAAGUAGCUUGUGCGAAGAAAAGAAUCUCAUAGUAUUAUGAUAUGAUGUUUGUAUAUACGUGCAAAUAAUAAUGCAAAGGAAUCUCUAUGCGUGGAUAAGGGAAAAA